CAAACAGAAAUUAAAUAAGAUAUUAUGGACGCUUUUGUGGCGAUAAAGUUCAUAAGCACUAGUGUAUGUGGUACACCAUGUCAUGUCAGUACAACUGACAUGACGUGGUGUACCAUAUAUACUAGUGUUCAAAAAUUGAGAAAGUCCAGUGAGAAAUUCAUGUUUGAUUAUGAAUUUGUAUGUUUUUACAGGCGAUGAAAUUGAAAGAAGGUGGAAAAGCCUUAGAAAUUGCUUCACUCGAGAAGUGGUAAAACAAAAAUGUUGUAAAUUUGGAGCAGCAACAUCAGGAAGGAAAACAUAUGUAUAUUUUGAUCAACCAUCUUACCUUAUCCCAUGUAUAGGUAAUAGAUGCAGGAGGAGAGGAACAACCACAACAACGUGGAGGAGGCUGAGAAGGAAAUGAAAAACCCAAUCGUGAACAGCACACAGUACACGAAGGAGAAAAGGAAGACAAGAAAGUGAUAUCAUGGAGAAAAUGUGUGCCACGCUGGAGCAAUUAAUAUGUCAGUGAUCCAAUCAGGAUAGUCUGUUGCAGGAUGAGGAUAGAUUGUUUCUGUUGUCUCCAUCCGAACCUUUCUUCCAUAUCAACUGACUUGAAAUUACUGGCCAAAAAGAAAUUUUACAGGUCCUUUCAAAAUAUAAUAACCCCAAUGUUAAUGUCCCUGUACAAUUACAGUCCUAUUCCCAGCCUUCCUCACAAUAUUAUAUACAAUCAAACAUUCCUCCCUUUUUAUCUACAAUGUAUGGGAAUCAAGUCAUUUGAACUCUUGCCCCGUUUCCUAUCAAAACACAAGAUCAAAAUCGUCCUCGUCAGAACACACUAUCAUUCAUUCACCAUUGGAUUUGUGUGAUUCUGACAUUUCAAGUGUUGUUAGUAUUAUGUAACUACUCGCAGGAAUUGUUCUGUAUUAGUAAUGUAUUAUUAGUUUCAAAUUAAUAUAUUUCAUGUACUAUUACUGUGUAUGAUUUAUUGUUCCUGAAAUAAAGUAGUAGUAUUGUUUAAUAACUUGACUUACCUCAGUGUUACAGCAAGUUUCUCCUUGAAAGGAAUAUACCAUCACAUGUGUGUGUCCCUCUCACAAAAAUAACAUUUUAGACUGCUGUACAGCUAUGUGAAUGAUGUACUAGACAUUCUGUAGUAAUUAAAGAACUUCCUUUCAUCACUGCAGAUAUCUUCAUGGAGUGUGUAGAAUGCUCCUUUGCUAAGCCUCCUUUCAACAACAGGGUGAACCCACAAUUUUCUCUUCUUGUUACUCUUUCUAUAUUUUCACAGUAUGUGCAUAAUUAUAAUGAUUUCUCCUGGUUCAAGCAACAAACUGUGGUAAGGCAUUCCCUCCAUCUGAAUGACUGAGGGCAACAUCAACGUGGGGUUCUGACGUCAGAGCCACUAAGUGUGUGUGUUGUGGCAUUGAGUGGCUCUGUCCCAGACACAAGCCACCAUGUGUCUUGUCUGAAAGCAGCCUUACUGUUGUUCAGUUUUAACCAAAAUUUUGUCAGAUUCCAGUAACACCCAAUAUCAAACCACAUCAAAAUAAUUAUGUAUGACCAUCUGAUACAGUAUUUCUUAAAAUUCAAUUUAAUUAAAAUCUAUGGUGCCCUACAUGUCACGACUGUUUAUUUAGUUAGCAGGUCAUUAAAAAAUUAUGCAUUACAUUAAUACAAUACAAUUGAUAUUGUGUGUGUGCGCGCGUGCAUGCACACAUAUGCGUAUAUGGAUACACACCCAAAAUAAUCAAAAUUUUGUCACAAUGCCAAUUUUCGUUUCAUGCAACCUGUUGUGUUAUAAUAUACAACUUCUUUAUUAAAACCGUCACAACACAACUAUAUCAAGGUCAGGCAGAGCCAAACUAGGCACUGACCUUGAUAUAGUUGUGUUGUGUUUUAUAUUAAAUGAACUCAAGUUCAAGGAGCUUCCCACUGUUACAAAUUUAGGUAGGGAUAAGUUAUUUGAAAUCUCAGCUGUUGAACUUAUUGAUCUUAAAAUUAU